rnacentral:lncRNA from 1 species
AUUUGGAAAAAUAACAGGCACUAUGAUAGAAAUAGUAAAAGACUAUGGGAAGUUUGAAAAUCAUAGACACUUACAGGAAGUUUGGCAGUGUUCUACCUUUGCAUUGCUUUUCAUAAUAAAUGAAGAAUACUGUGCUUUGGCAGCAGUAGCCUGCAAGGACAUCCGAGAGAGGCAGAGAGGAGCAGCUUUUUCCUGCACUGAUUACCACCCAGGAGGGACUUCCAGACUUCCUGGGGUUUCUCUGUCAGGGGGGCUGGUCUCCACAGUGGUUCCUUACUCCUGAU